AGCUCAUCACAAUCAUCUUCAUUUGACAGAUUCUUUUGGCCUCCAUUUAUCCAGCAUGGGACGUCUCUUUCAAUUGUAGAAAAUUAGUGACUUAUAGGUUAUAGAUUCUCAUUAUGCUAUAGUUUUCCAGGUUGUGUACUUCAAUUUAUGGACAAUUUUUCCUUUUAAUUCUCGAUGGGGCCAAGGCGAUUACUUCUUCUUCCAAUUAUAAUGUAUACGAAUGUGAAAUGACUAUAUACCGGCACUGCGGUCUCAGAAAGAUGGUAUUAAAUUUUAAUUUCCAUCCCUUCAGCCACACUUGUUGCAAAUUUAGAGGUUGUGGAUGGGCUACAAAACUCACUCAUGUCAGAGGAAUACGAUUGGUAAGAGUGCAAGCAAACUGUUCGAUGAAAUGCUUUGCUCUAAAUUAAAGAUUCAUUGAUGUUGGAUCAUGUAAUGGAUAGUCAUAUUAUUACUGCUGAUUCAUCAAGUUUUGUGAAGAAAUUUCUCCCAAUUAUUUAUGAGGCAAACAUAAAAGAAUCUUGCUGGGCCAAAUAUCAAAUCUUGAUUGAUAAAGGAGAUUUCCAUCAUUCCUCGCACUCUAGCUUUUGAAUUUCUUAUAAAUCGAGGCUAGCUCAUGGUUUUCUUAUUAUUAUCAAAGAUGAGCCAUAGCUCAUGGAUAUCUUAUUAUCAAAGAUAGCAUUUUAUAAGCCCUCGUUCUUUGAACAAAAAAGAGAUAGUAUUUUAUAAAUCCUCAUUACUUAAAUAAAGGAAGAGGCAGUAUGUUGGAGUCCUUGUUCAUUGAAUAAAGGAAGAAGCAAAGUUUUAUAAUUCCUUGUUCCUUGAAUAAAGGAAGAGGUGGUGCCUUGUGGUCCUUGUUCCUGGAAUAAAGGAAGAGGUCGAAUCUUGAAACAUUUGCCCUUGAAAAAUAAGCAACUUUCUAGCUAGUCAGACGUGUUUGACCUUGCAAAAGGAGCAUUUUCUGGCUUCACGAGAUGCUUAUUCCUCACCUUUUACUAUCGUCGAGCCUAACCAUAAGCCCUGUCUAUUUGAGGCUGCUUAUAAGGCUUUGAUAGUUCGAGAGAUAUUCGUGGGAUGUUUAUUUCUCGCCUCGUCGGAUGCUUAUUCUUAACUUCGCAAGAUGUUUAUUCCUCGUCUCUUACUAUCAUUGAACUUAGCUGUAAGACCUCAUCUAUCCAAGAUAGCUUAUAAGACUCCGAUAAUUUGAGAGCUAUUUGCGGGAUGUCUAUUCUUCACUUUGCCUGAUGUUUAUUCCUAGCUUUGCGAGAUGAUUAUCCCUCGCCCUUCAUUAUCGUCGAGCUCAGCUAUAAGACCUCGUCUUUUUGAGGCCUUCUUAUAAGUCUUCGAUAGUUUGAGACAAGCCACAAACUUUAUAUUUAUUCAUCACUUCACGAGAUGCCCUACCAUAUGAGUUAUUGCAUUAUAGUUGCAUUUAUCUAUAGAAAGCUCAUCAUGCCUCUACAUUACAGCUA